rnacentral:lncRNA from 1 species
GGGGCGGGGGAGGCACGGGAGCCACACAGGCUACUGACAAGAUGCUCGGUGUCUAAAUGACGACAGGUCUCAGAGAAGAUCAGAAAAAAACGAUGAAGAUGCAAUCUUUCAUGAGUUGGGAGAUUAUAUCCUUAGAUUUUAACAUUUUUUAAAAUGUUCUUUUGGCCAAGAGGGACACAGCCAAUCGCCGUCCAGGACCCAGAAGGCACUGCAUCAGGUCUCCCAGCAGAGCUCUGGGGCAACUUCACAGACUCUCCAGAUGCUACAGCAGAACGACGAGGAUGCCAUCAAAAUGAAUGUGUGCACGAGGAAUAUCGUGAGGCUCCAGUGGAGCAAUGCAGGGGCAUCUGUCCCAGAACUGUGACGCUGAGUGCUGUCAGAAGGGUUGGUUUCCAUUCGCAUCAACGUCUGCAUCCUUCUCACAGCACAGAAGAGCUGGGACACGGGAGUCUGAAGAGAGUUCGGGGCAUUGGACUUGACCAGCUGUUAGAUUUGGGAAAAUCUGUAUCACUUCCCUGAGGCAGAGACCCGGCAAGGAUGGAAUGAGCGAGUGCGGAAGUGUGGGAGCUUGCAGCAGCCCGUACACCCGCAGCACUGAACACCCCUCAACACCACCAUGUGCUCAUUUUCCUUGGCCCUUCAGACCCCUUCUCCACCCUGCUCCACUGCAGUUUUCUCUUGUGCUCCAGAAAGGUGCCAGGAAAUGGGUGGAGAAAGAAAAAGAAGCAACCAGACGAAGACACAGUGCACGCAGAUUACUGGUUCUCUUGCCAUUUCCUCCAGGUCCAGGGCCUUUGUAGAAGCUUGUUAGGGUCUAUAUCUAGAUGACCCCCGAAGCCUCUGGCAGUCAUAGGUGGAGCUCUGGAGUGGUGACUGGAUCGUGGAAGCUUGGUACUCACCAGUGGAUUAGCCCA